CCUACGGGAGGCAGCAGUGAGGAAUAUUGGUCAAUGGGCGCAAGCCUGAUCCAGCCAUGCCGCGUGUGGGAUGAAGGCUCUCUGGUUGUAAAACACCUUUUAUGUGGACAUAAAGUGAGGAGCUAAUUCCUUUUUGUAUGUACCAUAUGAAUAAGCAUCGGCUAACUCCGUGCCAGCAGCCGCGGUAAUACGGAGGAUGCGAGCGUUAUCCGGAUUUACUGGGUUUAAAGGGUGCGUAGGUGGUUAAUUAAGUCAGCGGUGAAAGUCUGGGGAUGAACCAUAAAAUGGCAGUCGAAACUGGUUGACUUGAGUAUAUUAGAGGUAGGUGGAAUGCGUGGUGUAGCGGUGAAAUGCAUAGAUAUCACGCAGAACUCCGAUGGCGAAGGCAGCUUACUAAACUAUAACUGACACUGAAGCACGAAAGCGUGGGGAGCAAACAGGAUUAGAUACCCCAGUAGUC
rnacentral:rRNA from 1 species